rnacentral:misc_RNA from 1 species
GUGAAAGUUCGCAAAUCCUCCUCACAGCCACCCACUCUCUCACCCGCUCACCCACCGCUGGAAGCCUGCAAUUAUGAAGCCUAAAACCAAAUACCCAAGAACAGCGACGAUGAGAGAAGAGAGCUGCUUCCCUCCUCUCUCUUAAUUUCGCUUUAUUUUUGGUCUUUUUGGAUUUUUUUUUUCCCUUUUGGGCUUAUAAAUUCUGUACACAUGAAGUUUUUAUUGGAAUUCGUCUCGUGUUGCGGGGCCAGUGGCGGUGACAACUCCGAAAAGGAUACUCCGGAGCUGAACGGGCGGCGUUCGGAGGAGAAGCGGGCGCUGAUGGAGCGGCGGACACUGCAAACGCUUACGAGGAGAAGUAGGAGGAAGAGGGGCAGAGUAGGGUCAGCAUCUGCGUCGUCCGCGGCUGCGAUGGCUGAUUGGAAACCGACGCUUUGCUCGAUAUCUGAGGAUAACGUGGUGGUGGUGGUGGAAGAGGGAACGGAAAGAGUGGUAAAGAGGAAGGGCAGUGGAGGACGACGUGGGGGUGGUGGUGGUGGGUCCCGUGGACUAGCUAGUAUUCCUAACUACAGCGAAGAUUACCGGCGAAGUAAUCAGUUCUCGGUAAUUCCAACAUUCUCUGCGACUCCGUUCAUGAUUUAGCAGUGUUGAUUUGCCAUUCUAUCUGAUGUAAAUAUAAAAUUUAGGCAAAUUCAUAAAAGUUGGAUUAUGAAAGUUUAAUUAUGCGUUUUGUGGCUUUUGUUAAUAGAAAUCUGCCUUAUGAUCAUUAUUAUUCUUCCAUUCUCUGCUUGCAGUUGCAGGCUUAAUUUCUAUCUGUACUAUUUCUUCGCAUUGCGUUGUUUUCAGGUCAACAGCUCCUAAUUAUUCAUGUUAAAUAAAAAUUAUCAUAACUUGUAAAAUAAUUGUUACACAUUUGAUUUUUUCUUCUCCCUUUCCUUCAAAAUGAAGCACUGAGUGUAUGGAAGUGAAUUUUUUUUCUUAACUGAAGAAUUAUUCUUUCAUUUAUUUUGUCAGUUUGAGCAAUUAUAUUUGGAUGGUAACGUUGAAUGCAA